rnacentral:rRNA from 1 species
UACGUAGGGUGCAAGCGUUGUCCGGAAUUAUUGGGCGUAAAGAGCUCGUAGGCGGUCUGUCACGUCGGCUGUGAAAACCCGAGGCUCAACCUCGGGCCUGCAGUCGAUACGGGCAAACUAGAGUGCGGUAGGGGAGAUCGGAAUUCCUGGUGUAGCGGUGAAAUGCGCAGAUAUCAGGAGGAACACCGGUGGCGAAGGCGGAUCUCUGGGCCGUAACUGACGCUGAGGAGCGAAAGCAUGGGGAGCGAACAGG